UACGUAGGGUGCGAGCGUUGUCCGGAAUUACUGGGCGUAAAGAGCUCGUAGGUGGUUUGUCGCGUUGUUCGUGAAAACUCACAGCUUAACUGUGGGCGUGCGGGCGAUACGGGCAGACUGGAGUACUGCAGGGGAGACUGGAAUUCCUGGUGUAGCGGUGAAAUGCGCAGAUAUCAGGAGGAACACCGGUGGCGAAGGCGGGUCUCUGGGGCCGAUACUGACGCUGAGGAGCGAAAGCGUGGGGAGCGAACAGG
rnacentral:rRNA from 1 species